rnacentral:rRNA from 1 species
UACGUAGGGUGCAAGCGUUACUCGGAAUUACUGGGCGUAAAGCGUGCGCAGGCGGUUGUGCAAGACAGAUGUGAAAUCCCCGGGCUCAACCUGGGAAUUGCAUUUGUGACUGCACGGCUAGAGUGUGUCAGAGGGGGGUAGAAUUCCACGUGUAGCAGUGAAAUGCGUAGAGAUGUGGAGGAAUACCGAUGGCGAAGGCAGCCCCCUGGGUCAAGAUUGACGCUCAUGCACGAAAGCGUGGGGAGCAAACAGG